rnacentral:rRNA from 1 species
AUUGAACGCUGGCGGCAGGCCUAACACAUGCAAGUCGAACGAGUGGCGGACGGGUGAGUAAUGUCUGGGAAACUGCCUGAUGGAGGGGGAUAACUACUGGAAACGGUAGCUAAUACCGCAUACCAUCAGAUGUGCCCAGAUGGGAUUAGCUUGUUGGUGGGGUAACGGCUCACCAAGGCGACGAUCCCUCGCUGGUCUGAGAGGAUGACCGGCAACACGGGACCUAGGACACGGUCCAGACUCCUAGGGGAGGCAGCAGGGGGGAAUAUUGCACAAUGAGCGCAAGCCGAAUGCAGCCAUGCCGGGUGUAUGGGGAGGGCCUUCGGGUUGUAAAGUACGUUCAGCGGGGAGGCGUUACCCGCAGAAGAAGCACCGGCUAACUCCGUGCCAGCAGCCGCGGUAAUUC